rnacentral:tRNA from 1 species
GCCUCAUUGUCUCAGGGGCAGAGCGUCUGUCUAGUAAACAGUGGGUCGCUGGUUCGAUUCCAGCAUGAGGCA